AGGCCACGCUCAUGUGUCUGGCCAACAAGGGCUUCCCCUCAGACUGGAGUCUGGCCUGGAAGGUGGACGGCAGCAGCAGCAGCAGCAGCAGCUGGGAGGAGAGCAGGAGCCCUGGGGUGCUGGAGAAAGACGGCCUCUACAGCUGGAGCAGCACCCUGAGGCUCCCUGCAGACCAGUGGAGGAAGGUGGGAUCUGUGACCUGUGAGGCCACCCAGGGCUCCCAGACCCCGCUCUCAGAGACAGUGAGGAGAGACCAGUGUUCCCAGUCCUGACCUGACUCACUGGGACAGCUGGCCUAAGCAGAGUAA